GACGAACGCUGGCGGCGUGCCUAAUACAUGCAAGUAGAACGCACAGUCUAUACUGUAGCUUGCUACACCAUAGACUGUGAGUUGCGAACGGGUGAGUAACGCGUAGGUAACCUGCCUGGUAGCGGGGGAUAACUAUUGGAAACGAUAGCUAAUACCGCAUAAUAUUAAUUAUUGCAUGAUAAUUUAUUGAAAGGUGCAAUUGCACCACUACCAGAUGGAUCUGCGUUGUAUUAGCUAGUAGGUGAGGUAACGGCUCACCUAGGCGGCGAUACAUAGCCGACCUGAGAGGGGGGUCGGCCACACUGGGACGGAGACACGGCCCAGACGCCUGCGGGAGGCAGCAGAAGGGAAUCGUCGGCAAUGGACGGGAGUCUGACAGAGCGACGCCGCGUGAGUGAAGGAGGUGUUCGGAUCGUAAAGCUCUGUUGUGAGAGGAGAACGGGUUUGGGAGUGGAAAGUUCACACUGUGACGGUAUCUAACCAGAAAGCGACGGCUAACUACGUG
rnacentral:rRNA from 1 species